rnacentral:rRNA from 1 species
GAUGAACGCUGGCGGCGUGCCUAAUACAUGCAAGUCGAGCGAACAGACGAGGAGCUUGCUCCUCUGACGUUAGCGGCGGAGGGGAGAGUAACAUGUGGAUAACGUACCUAUAAGACUGGGAUAACUUCGGGAAAGCGGAGCAAAGAGGGGAGAAUAUAUUGAACCGCAGGGGGCAAUAGAGAAAGACGGUGUUGCGGGCAGGUAUAGAUGGAUCUGCGCCGCAUGAGCUAGUUGGGAAGGAAACGGGUUACCAAGGCAACGAUGCGUAGCCGACGUGAGAGAGUGGUCGGCCACCCUGGAGCUGAGACACCGUCCAUACUCCUACGAGACGCAGCAGUAUGGUAUCUUCCGCAGUGGUCGGAAGCCUUACAGAACGGCGCCACGUCAGUUAUGGAAGUCUUCGGUUCGUGAAACUCUGUUAUUAGUGAAGAACAAAUGUGUAAGUAACUAUACACGUCUUGACGGUACCUAAUCAGAAAGCCACGGCUAACUACGUG